GAGCUGAUAGCUCAGCGGUAAAAGGCGUUCGGCUGUGAACCCACCGCUCGGGAGUUCGACUCCCGAUUCGCACA